CUCAGCAAAAGCAGUUUUCUGGCUAGAAAGUGGAAAACUAAAGUUCAUUUUCAGAUAACUACAGAAAGGAUAUAAACUCAUCAUCCCACCCUAUGGCACAAUGUCCCAACCAUUAAGAUUAGCAGAUUUUCCUCAGUAAAAGUAGUGGAGAUGUUGCCCCUGAAGUGAAGCUUUAGCUCCGAAGAACUGCUUUUGUGAAAUAUGCAGGUGUCCUUGGGAUUAGGAAGCACUGCCACAAUAUUUGACUUCAGAGUUUAACUCGGAAAUUAGGCCAGACUUGAAUACUUUGGGUGGGAAUCUAAUGAAAUUUUCUACCUACAGAUAAUCUUUCUCUCUCAAAGUGUGCAGAAUUCAGUGCAAUCUUCCUUUUCAAUUUUCAACCUAAACAAUUUUGGCAAUUUUGGCCAAAAAGCAGAGCUUUUCAAGGGAUCCUUUCUCACCCUUCUCCUGAGAUUAAAGCAUUUACUAAAGCAAUGAGGUGUGCUUACCAUUCUUUGUGCUUGUAUCUGAAUUAUUCAGAGAAGCAAGACUAUGUUAUUGUCCAGCUGUCUUUUGAACAGCUGGGCUUUACAACAGUACAGACAAAUAGCUGAGCAGAAUACAGGUUUUUAUAAUACCAAGAACAUGAUAUUCAGAGAAGAGAAAUUACAAAAAGGAUCUUCUUUUACACUGACAGCGAAGUGUUUAGCUGAAAUUCGUAUGUGAUGGAAUCAGAUAACUAACAUUUGCUUCAGACUGUGACCAAAGGCAUCCUUCUAUCUUCUCCUGGUUGAGCUAAACAGAAAGAGCUCUUGCAUUGCCUCUCUCUCUAAGACAUGAAGAAAAAGGUUUGGCUCAAGAUCAAGGUAAUCAAGGCACUGCAUAAGCAGAAUGGAUGAAGAGUUUCCCAAACUGGAGUAAGAAUUGAUCAGUAUGGGCAAUUCAGCAGUUUUCUAAUUGUCAGGCUAACA